rnacentral:lncRNA from 1 species
UGUGGGAAAAUAGACAGCUGGUUAGGCUAGAGUCAAACCUUUUCUGCUACAGUAUAAUUUCCUUUCUAGAAAUACAUUUAGCUCCAACUACAGUAGGAAGGUGUGUACUAUGGGUCACUUAAUUUUAUUUGGUUAUCUGUACUCUUCAUACUCAAGAACUGGAAGCCUCACUGUAACAACUAUACUUUCUAAAUGACAUCCUGUAUUUUGUAUUUUUACAAUUAAUCUCUGAACUACAUAGAUUUUAAUCAUUGAGCUAGUUGGGAAGUAGGUCUGGGGCCCAAGUCCACUGUUUUGGGGGAAUCCCACCCAACAGCAGUGAUUUUAUUUUAUUUUACUUUUUGGUACCAAGGAUCAAACUUAGAACCUGGCACUUUCAAGGCAGUCAAGGCGCCACUGAGCUACAUCCCCGGCCCUCAACAGCAUUGAUUUUAGAGUGCUUGGCUAGCAUGCCUGAGGGCCUGGCGAUCAUCCGCAUCCUAAAAAACAGAGCAAGUAACUUGUGUUUCUGGUCACUUGAAAAGUAUUCUAGUAUUAUAGACCACUAAGAUAGGUAAAAAUAUUAUAGGUAGUCAGACAGAGAUAAGCCCUCAAGGGAAUCAGUGCAGAAGAUGAGAACACACAACUGUAACACACUCCAACUAUGGCUGGAGGUGCAUCUGUUGAAGACCAGGUCUCAAGAUAAAGAUGGAAUGACUGGUCCUACAUGCUUCCCCAGGGGAUAAGAAAUAAAGAUUAUAAGUGAUACCACCUGGUCCAAUAAAGUCUGGGUAGACAUCAGUGGGUGACCAGAAUCUCCUGAUUCAUAUACCUUCCUAUUUACUUUGAGGCAGGGUUCCCCCCUUUUUUUUUCUUUUUUCUUUUUUCUUUUUUUCUUGGUACCAGGGAUCGAACUUAGGACUUUGUGCUUGGCGGGCAGGCAUGACACUGGUGAGCUACAUCCCUGGCUCAGAGUUCCAGUCUGUAGUUCAGGCUGGCCCUGAAUUCCCUGUAAUCCUUCCUCAGUCUCCUGAGUACUAAGGUUAUAGGAUUGUGCCACCAUACCCUGGCUGAUCCAUACCUUUCUAUAAACGUCUUUGUUCUUUCUGUGUAUGCUUGUUAACAUGACCUGCUUUCCCAUUGGAUCACUUUUUUAAAAAUUAAUUUUAUUGGUACAUUUUAGGCAUACAGUAUAAUGGCAUUCAUCAUUGGAAAUUUGUACCUUUACAUAAUAUAUCUUGGUAGUUCUGCUUACUCUUUUUUUUUUUUUCUGGUACAGGGAAUCGAACUUGGGACCUUGAGCUUGCAAGAUGAGGAAACUAAGGAACUGAAAGAUUAGAUGAUUAAGCGAAGACAGCAGGUCAAAUUGCUGAAUUUGGGAUUCACACUUAAUGUGGUUAGUUUCUCCCCUCUUAAAACAUUUGCCUUUUUGCUAGCUAAAAUACCAAUGUUGGUGAAAGGUGAAAUCACAUUAAAAUGAAGAUAGGGUUAUGUGGUUUUUGCAGUCUUUCAUAAUCUGUAAGUCUGCCUCAAAUUCCUUGUUAGUAUUAAGCAUGCAUUCUUUCUUUUUUUUGUCUUAUGCUUUAUGAGCAGCAGGGAAGAGUGGAAGGAGCAUGGAGUUUGGAGUCAUGUCUGGAUUCAUAUUCAAGCUCUUGAAUAAUGACAGAAAUAAUUUCAGUGUCUCUUUCUGUAAAACAAUGCCCUCAGAUCUGAGGAUGGAAUAAAAUAAUGUGAAAUCUUGUCUUUUCUGUCACAGAAUCCCCCUUUUCCCUUGUAUUUUUAAAUCUGUAUGCAUCAGAGGGUCCAGAGUCUUUUAUCAAAUUCUGAAAGACAUCCAAGACUCAAAGUAUUAGGAACCUUUGACUUUUCCUUAACUUUCAGAGCCAGUCUCAUAAGGAAGAUAAAAUUAGGAGAAACAGACCGGCAUACUCAGUUUUAUGUUCUGGGUGUAUGUGUACAGAUAGAAUUUGAUUGAAUUCAAAAGAAAAGGCAUUUUGGGCAUAGUUACUGGUUAAUUAUCACUUCUAACCAAGUGUUUGGGAAAAGAGGAAGGCUCUAACGGGAUCAGGCCACAGAACAGGCCAAGAAUAUUAUUUUCUUAUGCAAUUGCAGGUAUUAUUGAAAUGAGUAUUAGGGUACCAUUAGUUGAAAAAAACCUCUAAAUAGAUUAUUCAAAUCACCAUAAUUCAUUAGGCAAUAUGUAAGUCCCAAGUUAAUCAACCUGGGAUAGACAACCUCAUGGCU